rnacentral:rRNA from 1 species
GACGAACGCUGGCGGCGUGCUUAACACAUGCAAGUCGAACGGAAAGGCCCUGCUUUUGUGGGUUUCUCGUUUGGCGAACGGGUGAGUAACACGUGAGUAACCUGCCCUUGACUUUGGGAUAACUUCAGGAAACUGGGGCUAAUACCGGAUAGGAGCUCCUGCUGCAUGGUGGGGGUUGGAAAGUUUCGGCGGUUGGGGAUGGACUCGCGGCUUAUCAGCUUGUUGGUGGGGUAGUGGCUUACCAAGGCUUUGACGGGUAGCCGGCCUGAGAGGGUUACCGGGCACAUUGGGACUGAGAUACGGACCAGAAUCCUACGGGAGGCAGCAGUGGGGAAUAUUGCACAAUGGGCGGAAGCGUGAUGCAGCAACGCCGCGUGCGGGAUGACGGCCUUCGGGUUGUAAACAGCUUUCGCCUGUGACGAAGCGUGAGUGACGGUAAUGGGUAAAGAAGCACCGGCUAACUACGUG